UAUGAAUUAUCGUUGGAGAUGCCCUUAUAAAAUUCUGUUUAGGUAAAUAUGUUGCUCCCAAGCUAUCUUAAUAAAAUAUGAUCCUACGGCCACAAAGCCGGCAAACGCACGGUCGUUAUCACUCGGUUGAUUUGAAUCAUUUUCCUAUAAUAGACCGUUGCUAAAAUCAUGCUGGCUUAGGAAGAAAAAAUCAAAUAUAAACUUUUUAAUAUUAUAAUCCUCAUUUUUGGGGUCUAAUCCUUUCUAGUUUCUACAAAGACUUGUGGAAUCAAAUAGACCUUCAGGCACGUGGCAUGCGCGGUUGAGUAUCUAGCAGCUGCUUCCGUUCCUGCAAAAUCCAAGUAAGUGAAACGCACAUAAAUUAUCUGAAGAUUCCAACCCCUUCCAAAAUUCCCAUGAGUCUGAAUAUACAGGACCGAGGUCGGCUGUCUGGGCGAGUGGGUG
rnacentral:lncRNA from 1 species